rnacentral:rRNA from 1 species
GAUGAACGCUAGCUACAGGCUUAACACAUGCAAGUCGAGGGACCGGCGCACGGGUGAGUAACACGUAUCCAACCUGCCCUUUACUCGGGGAUAGCCUUUCGAAAGAAAGAUUAAUACCCGAUAUAAAGGAUGGGGAUGCGUUCCAUUAGGUUGUUGGUGAGGUAACGGCUCACCAAGCCUUCGAUGCAUAGCCGACCGGAGAGGGGGGUCGGCCACACGGGUACUGAGACACGUGCCAAACUCCGACGAGAGGAAGCAGUGAGGAAUAGUGGUCAAUGGGCGCUAGCCAGAACCAGCCAGGUAGCGUGAAGGAUGAAGGCUUAUGGGUCGUAAACUUCUUUUAUAUAAGAAUAUGUAUUAUAUGAAUAAGGAUCGGCUAACUCCGUGCCAGCAGCCGCGGUAAUAC